GGCUUUGGAUCGUGACUGUUUGCUGGCCUUGUAAUGAGACCCAGCUCGGUCGAAAUACAAGAGUGGCUGAUUCCCAAUCCGGCCUGACUCGGCGUGAUAAUCACACUUCGCCGAUUACGGAUGGGUGAUAAAGGCUGCUUCCAAGAUAUAUUACUUUUGAACUAGACCUCAAAUCAGGUAGGACUACCCGCUGAACUUAA
rnacentral:misc_RNA from 1 species